rnacentral:tRNA from 1 species
UUCCCUGUCGCUCAGUUGGUAGAGCAUGGUGUUUGUAAUGCCAGAGUUGUGGGUUUGAUUCCCAUCGAGGGGC